GAUAAACGCUGGCGGCGCACAUAAGACAUGCAAGUCGAACGGACGACUUUAACUUGUUUUACUUGUUAAAGAAGUUAGUGGCGGACUGGUGAGGAACACGUAAAUAAUCUGCCUAUAAGAGGGGAACAACAGUGAGAAAUCACUGCUAAUACCGCAUAAUUCAUAUUGCUCGCAUGAACAGUAUGGAAAAGGAGCAAUCCGCUUAUAGAUGAGUUUGCGUCUGAUUAGCUAGUUGGUGUGGUAACGGCAUACCAAGGCGACGAUCAGUAGCCGUGCUGAGAGGCAGAACGGCCACAUUGGGACUGAGAUACGGCCCAGACUCCUACGGGAGGCAGCAGUCGGGAAUAUUGCGCAAUGGAGGAAACUCUGACGCAGUGACGCCGCGUAUAGGAAGAAGGUUUUCGGAUUGUAAACUAUUGUAGACAGGGAAGAUACAAGACAGUACCUGUAAAGUAAGACCCCGGCUAACUAUGUGCCAGCAGCCGACGG
rnacentral:rRNA from 1 species